rnacentral:lncRNA from 1 species
CAGGAGUCCUGGCCCCGUGCCCCGGAACAGCUCCACCAGGCCCUGCCGCCCGGAGAUCCACCAGUUGUCAGCAGCAGGGAGCUUGGAGCUGCUGUGUGAGGUGGUCUGCGGCCCAGGCGUGGCCGUGCGCUGGACCCGGGCCCCUGGCGGGCUGGCGGCCUACGAGACGCAGGAGGUGGGGGCCCAGGCUUGGCUGAGCGGUGGGAGCAUGCUGUGGGCCAGAUGCCACGGUGAGGGCUGGUUCCAGUGUUGCCUGGACCCAGGGGGCCAGACGGCCAACCUGCUCCCCGCUAACGUCUGCAUACCUGUGGACGGGCAGCUUGGUUCUGGGGCUGCUUCUCCUGGUGUUCCUGACCUACCGCCUGUGGAAACGCUGCCGGCCCACCAGAUGACCUGGGCCCCUGCCCCGCCUGGACCACACGGAAGGGGAUUUUCCUUCCACUCAGUUGCGACUAGAGGAUGUUUGCAGGGUUCUGGACAGCAGGGGGGCUGACCGUGGACCCCUUACCCUGAUGGCCAGCACAUCCAGGCUCCCCAGCUGGCUGGGCUUCCCUUCAGUGGGGACCCUGGGGAGCCGCCACCCCCACCCACCCCCACGGUGCAGAGCUGGAGAAUAAAGAGCAUCUGGUCUGACCUCGGUGGUUCCUGUCGCGGUCUGAGGACACGGGGAAUCCCCGGCACAGCUCCAACCAUCCUCUGCUCUAGGUGACUCCCCAGACAGACAAGGAAGGACAGGACACCCCAGCCCCACGUGGUCAGGGGUGGGGGUAAGAGGCGUGUGCUCUUCCUGGUGCCUUUCCCUGCUUAAUGAGUAACUAGGAGUCCUCAAAAGAAGCGGAGAAAAGUAUUUGUUGGACGACAGCACGGGCAAAGACACAGAAGAGAGGUGGCUUGAUAAGGGAAAUUGCAUCUCUUUUGGGGUGGCUGGAGGCUAAAGCGUGGGGAGAGGCGAGGGAGAGGCUGGAAAUGAUACCGGCAGAUGAAGGGCUGUAGAUGCCAGGGUCGUCAGCCUUGUGGAACCGAGGAGCUAUGGGAGAGUUUAGAGCUAUAGAGGAUGCGGUGUGAGAAAGUUCCCUCAAGUGGUAAGGAAAGGUAACAGCCUGGGACGGGGAACUGGGGACCGUGGGUGGUCCACUCGCUCUGUGAACCCGUACAGCGGACUAGGGGCCGCGGAAGCGCAGACCAGACCCCUAACCCAGCCUGGCGGGGAGAGGGGGCCUUUCCCCACGAGGUGAGCUACAAACUCGCACGGAGAUUGGGUUAGGCUGAAGACCAGGCUGAGCACAAAGGCUCUGAGUUGAAAAUCAGAAAAGGGGGCGGGAGCGGCGCUUACUCCCGGAGUUGGGGUGGAACCAUCCCGCCCGCUCUCAGCAGGGCUUCCCUGGUAACC